rnacentral:rRNA from 1 species
ACGGGGGGGGCAAGCGUUGUUCGGAAUUACUGGGCGUAAAGGGCUCGUAGGCGGCCAACUAAGUCAGACGUGAAAUCCCCAGGCUCAACCUGGGAACUGCGUCUGAUACUGGAUGGCUUGAAUCCGGGAGAGGGAUGCAGAAUUCCAGGUGUAGCGGUGAAAUGCGUAGAUAUCUGGAGGAACAACAGUGGCGAAGGCGGCUGUCUGGACUCUUACUGACGCUUAGGCGCGAAAGCGUGGGGAGCAAACAGGA